rnacentral:misc_RNA from 1 species
AACGCACAUUGCGCCCCGUGGUAUUCCGCGGGGCAUGCCUGUUCGAGCGUCAUUUCACCACUCAAGCCUGGCUUGGUAUUGGGCGCGGUCGGGAAACCGACCCGCCUCAAAGUCUUUCCGGCUGAGCCAUUCGUCUCCCAGCGUUGUGACACAAUCUAAUCGCUCCGGAGUGCGGGUGGCCGCGGCCGUUAAAUCUUUCUCAAGGUUGACCUCGGAUCAGGUAGGGAUACCCGCUGAACUUAA